UGGGGAAUUUUGGACAAUGGGCGCAAGCCUGAUCCAGCAAUGCCGCGUGCAGGAUGAAGGCCUUCGGGUUGUAAACUGCUUUUGUACGGAACGAAACGGCUCUGUCUAAUACAUGGGGCUAAUGACGGUACCGUAAGAAUAAGCACUGGCUAACUACGUGCCAGCAGCCGCGGUAAUACGUAGGGUGCAAGCGUUAAUCGGAACUACUGGGCGUAAAGCGUGCGCAGGCGGUUAUGUAAGACAGAUGUGAAAUCCCCGGGCUCAACCUGGGACCUGCAUUUGUGACUGCAUAGCUAGAGUACGGCAGAGGGGGAUGGAAUUCCGCGUGUAGCAGUGAAAUGCGUGGAUAUGCGGAGGAACACCGAUGGCGAAGGCAAUACCCUGGGCCUGUACUGACGCUAAUGCACGAACGCGUAGGGAGCAAACA
rnacentral:rRNA from 1 species